rnacentral:rRNA from 1 species
AUGGGCGCAAGCCUGAUGCAGCCAUGCCGCGUGUGUGAAGAAGGCCUUCGGGUUGUAAAGCACUUUCAGUCGUGAGGAAGGCGGGUACGUUAAUAGCGUAUUCGUUUGACGUUAGCGACAGAAGAAGCACCGGCUAACUCCGUGCCAGCAGCCGCGGUAAUACGGAGGGUGCGAGCGUUAAUCGGAAUUACUGGGCGUAAAGCGCAUGCAGGUGGUUCGUUAAGUCAGAUGUGAAAGCCCGGGGCUCAACCUCGGAACAGCAUUUGAAACUGGCGGACUAGAGUACUGUAGAGGGGGGUAGAAUUUCAGGUGUAGCGGUGAAAUGCGUAGAGAUCUGAAGGAAUACCGGUGGCGAAGGCGGCCCCCUGGACAGAUACUGACACUCAGAUGCGAAAGCGUGGGGAGCAAACAGGAUUAGAUACCCUGGUAGUCCACGCCGUAAACGAUGUCUACUUGGAGGUUGUGGCCUUGAGCCGUGGCUUUCGGAGCUAACGCGUUAAGUAGACCGCCUGG